rnacentral:rRNA from 1 species
ACGGGUGAGUAACACGUGGGCAACCUGCCUAUAAGACUGGGAUAACUUCGGGAAACCGGAGCUAAUACCGGAUAAUUCACAUCUACUCAUGUAGAUGUGCUGAAAGACGGUUUACGCUGUCACUUAUAGAUGGGCCCGCGGCGCAUUAGCUAGUUGGUGAGGUAAUGGCUCACCAAGGCCACGAUGCGUAGCCGACCUGAGAGGGUGAUCGGCCACACUGGGACUGAGACACGGCCCAGACUCCUACGGGAGGCAGCAGUAGGGAAUCUUCCGCAAUGGACGAAAGUCUGACGGAGCAACGCCGCGUGAGUGAUGAAGGUUUUCGGAUCGUAAAACUCUGUUGUUAGGGAAGAACAAGUACCAGAGUAACUGCUGGUACCUUGGCGGUACCUAACCAGAAAGCCACGGCUAACUACGUGCCAGCAGCCGCGGUAAUACGUAGGUGGCAAGCGUUGUCCGGAAUUAUUGGGCGUAAAGCGCGCGCAGGCGGUCCUUUAAGUCUGAUGUGAAAGCCCACGGCUCAACCGUGGAGGGUCAUUGGAAACUGGGGGACUUGAGUACAGAAGAGAAGAGUGGAAUU